CUGAAAAGUGAUAUAUAGCGUUUCGGAAUGAAACUCAUCUUAUGUUUCCCCAUCUGAGCUCAGAGUAGAUGAGAGAUGUAAUGUUUGUCUCUGUUGUGUUGAAGUCCAAUCAAGCAGGAGAGACCAGCCUCCCCUGUACCCAGCUGUGUGUCCAUGAAGAGUGACCAGUCUAUGGGUCAUCCUAUAACCUUUAGAGAGGGAGACUUUUCUACUGAACAAAGCCCAAUCAAGCAGGAGAGACCAGCCUCCCCUGUUCCCAGCUGUGUGUCCAUGAAGAGUGAUUGGUCUAUGGAUCCUCCUAGAAACUUUAGAGAGAGAGACUUUUCUACUGAACAAAGAAACCAACAGGAGAGAUCAGAGUCAGAGAUUCUCAGU